GCAAACAUUUCGAAGCUGCACCACAAGUCAAGUCUGUCCCCAAAAGCUUAAAAGUAAUCAAAGAAACGCAAUGCCUAGACAGCAGAAGCCCACAUCCCUUGGAGGUGGAAGCUGGAGGGGAAGGGUCUGACAGGCAGAGAUAAAGUGAACAAAUGGAUCUUGGAUGGCCUGAGACUGAUCCCACAGGAUGUCAAGAGAAUCUGGAGACGGAUGGGGCAUGAUGGGCAGGCAUAGGAAUAUUUAAGACAGAAGAAGAGAAGACACAUAAGAAGAGGAAGUGAUGCGAAGACAGGCAG